UUCCGGUUGAUCCUGCCGGACCUGACUGCUAUCGGAUUGAUACUAAGCCAUGCUAGUCUUUGUAGUAAUACAAGGCAUACGGCUCAGUAACGCGUAGUCAACCUACCCUAUGGACGGGGAUAAUCUCGGGAAACUGAGCAUAAUACCCGGCAGACCACUUAUCCUGGAAUGGUUAGUGGUUAAAAUGAUUCGUCGCCAUAGGAUGGGACUGCGGCCUAUCAGCUUGUUGGUGAGGUAAUGGCCCACCAAGGCGAUUACAGGUACGGGCUCUGAGAGGAGAGGCCCGGAGAUGGGUACUGAGACAAGGACCCAGGCCCUAUGGGGCGCAGCAGGCGAGAAAACUUUGCAAUGUGCGAAAGCACGACAAGGUUAAUCCGAGUGAUUUCUGCUAAAGGAAUCUUUUGUUAGUUCUAAAAAUACUAGUGAAUAAGGGGUGGGCAAGUUCUGGUGUCAGCCGCCGCGGUAAAACCAGCACCUCAAGUGGUCAGGAGGAUUAUUGGGCCUAAAGCAUCCGUAGCCUGUUCUAUAAGUUUGCGGUUAAAUCCAUAUGCUCAACAUAUGGGCUGCCGUAAAUACUGUAGAACUAGGGAGUGGGAGAGGUAGACGGUACUCGAUAGGAAGGGGU
rnacentral:rRNA from 1 species